ensembl:lncRNA
AGCUUGUUCUCAGCUGCUCUACACGGUCCAUGUAAUCUAUUACUCGAUACGAUCAGAGGAUUACACCCUGUAUUAGAACUUUGUAAAGUAUUGAUCUGAUUCUCCUCAGUUAUCUUCAUGUCUCCUCUCCAGACCACUGUUUAAUCAUUGUGAGGAGGAGCAGGGAGGAGGAGGAAGAGGAGGAGGAGGAGGAGGAGGAGGAGGACGAUCAACUUCUGGCCGCAGCCCGCGCUGCUCUCCGGGUGUCAGUCGUCCUGCUGCUCACAUUAAACUAAUUAAAGUAAUGAAGGUGAUUAAACCGGAGCAGAUCCGCAGCUCCACAUCCUCUCUGGACUCCGGAUCAUUUAAUUCUUCUCCACAGAUCGUCUGCAGCUCUCCUCCUCCUCCUCCUCCUCCGCCUCUCCGGCUCCAGGCUCACAUGUGAGGAGGGUUUUGGCUUCUCGAUUCAAACCGGAGGAUUUUCAGCGUUGUUGUCCUCCCGGAGUCGUCCCGGUGUCAGACUCGUGGACCGGACUUGAUUCCUGCGGCUCUGGUAGUUUCCUGCGCGUCUCUGCGCUGCGCGGCGGUGCGUGGGGAGGUUUACUUCUCUUCAGACUGUUUCAGAGGAUGUUUGCACGAUUUAUUUCGGACUGAAGAUGUUUGACAGCUUCAGUUUUCUGCCUCUGAUCAGUUCGGUUCGGUUCCGUCUUCCUCUCCAGCAGAAAGCUGAUGUCUUACUUCUGCCUGGAUCCAUUUCAGGAAUUUAAACCAGGAAUUUUUUAUUAUUUCUAAAUCGUCAAAUCUGUGGAUUGAUUUUUCUACCAGGACUCACUUCCGACUUUGUUUCGCUCACUUUGCUUCUGUUUGUUCUUCAUCCACGUGUUACAUUCAUCAUAUUUCCUGGAUAAGAGGAAAUCCUGGAACCAGAACAGAGACUCCCUGAUCUUCCACUUCAUCCAUCGCCUUUGUCUCACAUCAGAAUUUUGCUUUAGAGGAGAGAAAGAGGAGCCCACCAGAACCAAAGAAGCAGGUAACUUCAAGGAACCAUGGACAUCUGGAGGGACUCUGAGGAUUUUAAAGACCACCAAUGAUCCACCUUGGGGGGCCUGUGAAAAACCUUCAAAAACAACCCUGGAGGAAAUUUGACAAACCCAUUUAAGAAACUAGAGGGAUCUGAGAAUCCCAAUGAAACUUUAAACCUUAACCCAAAGCCUUAGGAGCUGUCAAACAUCUGGAGAAAAACUAUUUCAGGGAACCCCAGAAGCAAGCUAAGGCCCCUGAAGCCCUUGAAGAUGCCUGUACGAAUCCUAAAAGAACCUUGAAAAAACCCUCUGAGAACCUCUAGACCACAGUGGUUCCGAUGAAAUCUUGGGGACUGCUGAGAAUCUGAGAAAAACCCAAAAGAUCAUUGUGAUGAGCCCUGAGUAGCCCUAGAUGAUUCUGAGUGACCCUUAAGACUUAUCUUAAGAACCUCCCUGAGAGACUUUAGAGGGACCCUUGAGACCUCCAGGAACUGCUGGGAAACUAGCAAAACUGAUUAAGUAGCCCAAGGAAGCCCAGUAGAUUUGUAGACCCCUGAAGACCAUUUAAGAAUCUCUGAAAAAAGACCAAAAAUAUAAAAAAUUAAAAUUAAUAACCUGAAGAACCUUUCUGAGAACCUCUAGAGGGACCUUCAAGGCCCCAACAAAAUCUUGUGAUUACUGUGAACCUGGAUGGACCCAGCAGGAAACUUUGAAGGGCCCUGGGGAACCACAGAAUGACCUCAGGAUCCCAGAGAGAGAUCUCAGAGGAAUGCUGUAGAUACUAGACUGACUUUAAGACCCAGAGAAAACCUGGAGAAUCUCUGCCACGCCCUAAAAAAGGUUUAAGUUACCCUGACGGACACUGAAGCACCUUUACACAACCUAGAAAUCACCAAGACUCUGAAGAAACCAAGGUGCUGCUAAGUAAUCAGAAAGAAUCUAGGGGGAACAGGAAGGGUUGAAGACUUUGAGGAUCCCAACAGUUAAGUACUUUGAGGAACCCUUUCGGGACCCUCAAGCUCCAGAGGAAAUCUGGGGACCACAGAGGACCCCCCAAACACUCUAGAGGAACCCUGAGAACUCUUGG